GCACCUAUGAGACCAUGAAUUCUCCUUUGUAAGCUCCCAUUGAUGAGCAAAAUGGAAGAUUUUCCCAUCAACUCGGUUAGAGAUUUCGGCUUUCAGGGCGGUCUGAGUAAGCACAUGAAACGAAGUCGAUGGUUUCACCGAUAAAGGGCCAUCCAAGAGUGCCUAAAGGAAGUGGGGUUUUGUACUUUGAUGAUGAUAAUCUGAUCAUCAUCAUACUACUGCUACUAAACCAGCUGCUGUUCCUGUAGAGAAAUAUUAUGGAAGUACUGGACAACAAGAUUGCUAACGCAAUCCACAAUAAAUUGUCCGUGUGAAUAUUCAUGAUAUUAACUUGAUUUCACACUCGUAUCCUAUUCCU